rnacentral:rRNA from 1 species
AUGGCUCAGUGAGGCCUUGGGAUUGGCCAGGGGAGAUGGGCAACCAUCACCCCAGGCCGAAAACUUGGUCAAACUUGGUCAUUUAGAGGAAGUAAAAGUCGUAACAAGGUUUCCGUAGGUGAACCUGCGGAAGGAUCAUUACCGAGUUAGGGUUCUCUCUCGAGGCCCGACCUCCCAACCCUGUGUCUAAUAAACCUGUUAUGUGUUGCUUCGGCGGACCGGCAGUCCCCUUCACGGGGGUCCGUCGCCGGGGGGGAAAACGGUCUCACAGGCCGCCCCUGGAGAGUGUCCGCCGAUGGCCCAACCAAAAAAACUCCCAAACCCAAACUGUCGUACCUAAAACUUCUGAAUCAGACCUUUUUUGAUGUACCAAUCAAAACACAAAACUUUCAACAACGGAUCUCUUGGUUCUGGCAUCGAUGAAGAACGCAGCGAAAUGCGAUAAGUAAUGCGAAUUGCAGAAUUUCCGUGAGUCAUCGAAUCUUUGAACGCACAUUGCGCCCUUUGGCAUUCCGAAGGGCAUGCCUGUUCGAGCGUCAUUAUCCUCUCUCAAACCUCGGGUUUGGUGUUGGACCGCGUUGGACCGGCCCACGGCCAACUGGUCUCAAAGACAAUGACGGCGUCCCAGGGACCCUCUUCGCACUGAGCUUUCCGGAGCACGCGUCGAGUUUUCACGGGCCCAGGGACCCGGUCACCCCUAAAAUUUUUUAAGGUUGACCUCGGAUCAGGUAGGAAUACCCGCUGAACUUAAGCAUAUCAAUAAGCGGAGGAAAAGAAACCAACAGGGAUUGCCUCAGUAACGGCGAGUGAAGCGGCAACAGCUCAAAUUUGAAAUCUGGCCUCACGGUCCGAGUUGUAAUUUGUAGAGGAUGUUUUGGGCACCGCUCCGGGUUAAAUUUCUUGGAACAGAAUGUCAAAGAGGGUGAGAGUCCCGUCUUGGCCCGCGGUAGGACCUAUGUAAAACUCCUUCGACGAGUCGACUUGUUUGGGAAUGCAGGUCAAAAUGGGUGGUAAAUUUCAUCUAAAGCUAAAUAUUGGCCAGAGACCGAUAGCGCACAAGUAGAGUGAUCGAAAGAUGAAAAGCACUUUGAAAAGAGAGUUAAACAGUAUGUGAAAUUGUUGAAAGGGAAGCGCUGGCAACCAGACUCGAGCGCGGUGUUCCCCCUUGCUUCUGCCUGGGUUAUUUCACCGUGACCGGGCCAUCAUCAGUUUUGGGGGUUGGUUAAAGAUUUGGGGAAUGUAUCCUCUCCUUCGGGGGAGGACUUAUAGCCCUGGAUGUCAUGCAGCCUCCCGGGACUGAGGAACGCGCUUCGGCGAGGAUGAUGGCGUAAUGGUUGUCAGCGACCCGUCUUGAAACACGGACCAAGGAGUCUAACAUCUAUGCGAGUGUUCGGGUGUCAAACCCUUGCGCGGAAUGAAAGUGAACGGAGGUAGGAAGGCUUGAGCCUGCACUAUCGACCGAUCCUGAUGUCUUCGGAUGGAUUUGAGUAAGAGCAUAGCUGUUGGGACCCGAAAGAUGGUGAACUAUGCGUGAAUAGGGUGAAGCCAGAGGAAACUCUGGUGGAGGCUCGCAGCGGUUCUGACGUGCAAAUCGAUCGUCAAAUUUGCGUAUAGGGGCGAAAGACUAAUCGAACCAUUGGUAAUCACUACUAGGUGGUUAAGAGUCGUGUGUGAAAAGCACCGGCUAGUCGCGAGUCCGCGGCAAGGUCGUCAAAUUGCGGGAACACCCUAAAGCCUGAGGUACCGCCGACCGUCCCGAAAGGGCGUGGAGGCACCACGGAGAGAUUUCGUGGGUACGGUAACAAUCCAAGGGAUGGUCCAAGGUUCAAAACCCUGGACCGCUGUAAUGGGCAAUCCGCAGCCAAGCCUGUUUCCCUCCCCUCCCCGGGGGAAAGGAGAUUGGGUGCAGUUCAUCGACUAGAUGUCGACCGGGUUCCAGGCCCAUCGCAGCCUGGAGCCUCAAGAUAUAGUCAGGCCCUCGGGGAGACCCGAGCGGAGGAACAAAGUAAAGCGGGUCGGACUCUUUUUUUUUUUUUCCACAAGAAGCCCGCUGUACCCGAAUUCCUCCUGGCCGGUCUUUGAGAGGCCGGUGAUCAA